rfam:Ohtaekwangia koreensis strain DSM 25262 genome assembly, contig: LY03DRAFT_scaffold00001.1
CAAACGUGGAGACCAGAAACCACGCGAAAAACGGGGCGAAACCGAAAAGCCAUACGAAUAGGAAAAUC